rnacentral:rRNA from 1 species
AUUGAACGCUGGCGGCAGGCCUAACACAUGCAAGUCGAACGGAGCGGCGGACGGGUGAGUAAUGCCUAGGAAUCUGCCUGGUAGUGGGGGAUAACGUCCGGAACCGGGCGAUAAUACCGCAUACUCUCAGAUGAGACUCGGUCGGAUUAGCUAGUUGGGGGGGUAAAGGCCUACCAAGGCGACGAUCCAUAGCUGGUCUGAGUGGAUGAUCAGCCACACUGGGACUGAGACACGGCCCAGACUCCUACGGGAGGCAGCAGUGGGUAAUAUUGCACAAUGGGCGCAAGCCGGAUGCAGCCAUGCCGCGUGUAUGAAGAAGGCCUUCGGGUUGUAAAGUACUUUCAGUCGGGAGGCGUUACCGACAGAAGAAGCACCGGCUAACUCCGUGCCAGCAGCCGCGGUAAUUC